GAGCUAUGAAGAAGAAUUCAAAGGAAUCUGAGAUUCCAUUGAGGACAUAAGAUCCAACGCUGAGCUCACUGCC
rfam:Columba livia unplaced genomic scaffold scaffold335, whole genome shotgun sequence.